rnacentral:sRNA from 1 species
UCAGUUAAAGUUCGUUUUCAAACCUAGA